UGCGCUGAAACCAAACAAGAUGGCAUCAACAAGGUCACGAAAUAACACGUAAUAAAUCUAGAAAGAGGAAGCUUGCGUUCUUGCAGAUGGCAGCGAUGCGAGGGCAAAGUACUGCAGAUAUAAGAUAACAGGAGAGAGCCAAUCAGGUUGCGAGUUUGGAGAUGGUCAAAUAACCUAGUACAUGCCACUGUCCCAGCAGUUAUCCAAAAUACUUUAUGACGAAGUGUGCAUUCUUACAGGUAGUGGAGAUCAGGGACAGACUACUACAGAUAUAAGAUAUAAUGCCAGGAGUGAACCAAUCAGGUUACAAGUUUGGUCAAAUAACCUAGUACUGUACAUGCCACUGUCCCAGCAGUUAUCCAAAAUACUACAUGACCAAGGACAAUACGGUAUAUAUUGUUUAUUCAUCGUUACCUCGGUAUAGACAUCCAGAUGUAGCUCUCCCAUCCCUGAUAUAAUAGUCUAAGGAAACAAACAAAACAAAACAAAAACAUUAGCAAUGAAGGAAAUAUGCUAGAAAAUAGAAAAUUUAGUGUCAAAUUCGACAUAUUGAAAGGUUUGAACAAAAUAGGCCUUUUACGUUACACAGUCGCUUGCUGAUAAAUCACCUUAAUAAUGAAGAAACACAAGGCUGUGCUGGAUGACAAACCGACCUCAAAAUGCUUGGCUAGUAUGUUACAAGCAAGAGAAAUAACCGGCUCAGGUACGAACAUUGGUUCCUAAAAUAAAUCAAUACAUGGAUGAGUUUAGAUCUGAGCAUUGUGGAUGCAACAAUUUUUGGAUUAUUCUAUUCGUACUGAUUUAUUUGAAAAUAACCAGGAGCAUACUUCCAGACAUCGAGUGCUGAACCGUCGUAUGGUAACGCAAAGCAUUUACAGCUAUGCUGGAGAUUUCGAGAUAAAUUACUUGAAUCUUUCCAAUAUGUUAUACUGUGUAGACUAUCUGCCGCUAAACAAAGAAACAAUAGUCUAGGGAAUGACACGUGGUCCAUUAACUAACUGGAAAACCUUACUCAUCCCUGGGGUCUGCGGGAUGCAAAUGGCUCACUGCCUUAGUUCUUGGUAUCAAGUUCACAAUGUAACGCUCAAAACAUGAUGGUAAAAACGAUCUACGCCAGGAUUGCUAAAGAUGAGAGACCUAAAACCACAGGGACAGCAAAGAUGACCCCUGCUAAGAGCCAGGGGGGAAAUGUGAGCACACACAAAGUUUCGUCAUGCAAUGCUCACUCCCCUUAGGUAACGUCCCGGGGAGCGAGCAUUACAUGUGGACACCAAGUGUCUUAUAGUGGAUGCUUAGAGACUAGGAGCUGUAGAGCACUCAAGAAGUCAAAGUAACACUCCAUGUAUUAAUGUUUGCUGUCCUCUGAUAUAAACAUGGUUAUAAAGCAUUCUUACCAAUGAGGGCGCACGUAGCAGGUACAUACCUCAAGUUU